CUUGAUCUUCUGAGAAGGG
rnacentral:snRNA from 1 species